rnacentral:rRNA from 1 species
GAUGAGCGCUAGCUACAGGCUUAACACAUGCAAGUCGAGGGGCAGCACAGUGUAGCAAUACAUGGGUGGCGACCGGCGCACGGGUGAGUAACACGUAUCCAACCUGUCCCAUACUCGGGGAUAGCCUUUCGAAAGAAAGAUUAAUACCCGAUGGUAUCAGAUUAAGGCAUCUUGAUUUGAUUAAAGAAAUUCGGUAUGGGGUGGGGAUGCGUUCCAUUAGCUUGUUGGCGGGGUAACGGCCCACCAAGGCAACGAUGGAUAGGGGGUUCUGAGAGGAAGGUCCCCCACA